UACGUAGGGUGCAAGCGUUAAUCGGAAUUACUGGGCGUAAAGCGUGCGCAGGCGGUUAUGUAAGACAGGGGUAAAAUCCCCGGGCUUAACCUGGGAACUGCAUUUGUGACUGCAUAGCUAGAGUACGGUAGAGGGGGAUGGAAUUCCGCGUGUAGCAGUGAAAUGCGUAGAUAUGCGGAGGAACACCGAUGGCGAAGGCAAUCCCCUGGACCUGUACUGACGCUCAUGCACGAAAGCGUGGGGAGCAAACAGG
rnacentral:rRNA from 1 species